GACUUUCUGUGGCUGUCCAAUCACAGACUUCCUAAUGCAGCUCAAUUAGAAUUUUUGCAAGACAGGUGCUCUGAGCAAUUGAUGCCUCUUGAGUUUAGUUCCAC